UCUUAUGGAUGAGCAAUAAAAGUAGUUUCUUGAGAUGGAAUCUACCACUGCUGCAGAUGCUGUGAC
rnacentral:pre_miRNA from 1 species